UUUUCGUAGGUGAACCUGCGGAAGGAUCAUUAGUGAAUUUUUUUCGGGUCUGCGCGCUUUGCAAAAAGCCCAGCCCGAUCCACUACCUUUACACACUGUGCUCUCGUCCUUUUUUAACACUGUUGAAGUGGGAAAAGUUGAAGAAAACCAAGAAAUUGACAAACGAAAGAAAAACUUUCAGCAAUGGAUCUCUUGGCUCUCGCAUCGAUGAAGAACGCAGC
rnacentral:misc_RNA from 1 species